UUGAUGACGUCAUGAAAAUAUGCGCAGAAGCUACACGGCCAUUUUGUGUUGACUAACGCAUCUCAUCUCGUUGAUACAACCACGGUAAAAAGUGGUCAGCGUCAUUGUAAAAGCAAUUGACAGCUAUGGGUGGAUCUGCGACACCCGAGGUUCCGGAUUACCGAAGAUAUAAAGCAGACCAUGGUAUAAAGGAACUACAAGCCCACGAGGCAAGACUUGCAAAAAUGGGUUUGAAAGAUCCAUGGGUCAGAAAUGAGAUAUGGCGAUAUCACAAAGCGAAACACUCUCCAAUGAGAUGGCACAUGGCUGUUCCUAUUUUGCUGGGUUGUGUUCUAACGACAGCGUUCAUAAAAACUCAGGAAUAUUUGGGAUUCAGGAAGUCACAUGAUGACCAUCACUAAGCUUUAUGAAAACUUAAGAAAUGUCACGCUUUGUCCAAUACAUUCAUUGGAAAUAUGCUUGAUGUGGUAUGUGGAAAUCACCAUGGUAACUAUGUUCUUGUAGAUUAUAUCACAAAGUGUGAAAUCGGAUACAACAGAUAAGCAGAAGGACACAUGUAGAUUGUAGAACAAUGCAUGGAGGAAAGUUACAGGAUUAUGUUGCCCAUGAAGUUAAUCAUUGUAUGACUUGUUUGAUGUAUAAACUGGAAUUGUUAAAUAAUAAAAUGUUUUGUUAAAAAGAA